rnacentral:rRNA from 1 species
GAAGCUGGAAUCGCUAGUAAUCGUAGAUCAGCAUGCUACGGUGAAUACGUUCCCGGGCCUUGUACACACCGCCCGUCACACCACGAGAGUUUGUAACACCCGAAGCCGGUGGAGUAACCUUUUAGGAGCUAGCCGUCGAAGGUGGGACAAAUGAUUGGGGUGAAGUCGUAACAAGGUAGCCGUAUCGGAAGGUGCGGCUGGAUCACCUCCUUUCUAAGGA